UGCAGUCGAGCGGAACGAGAAGUAGCUUGCUACUUCGGCGUCGAGCGGCGGACGGGUGAGUAAUGCAUAGGAAGUUGCCCAGUAGAGGGGGAUAACCAUUGGAAACGAUGGCUAAUACCGCAUAACCUCUUCGGAGCAAAGCGGGGGACCUUCGGGCCUCGCGCUACUGGAUACGCCUAUGUGGGAUUAGCUAGUUGGUGAGGUAAUGGCUCACCAAGGCGACGAUCCCUAGCUGGUCUGAGAGGAUGAUCAGCCACACUGGGACUGAGACACGGCCCAGACUCCUACGGGAGGCAGCAGUGGGGAAUAUUGCACAAUGGGCGAAAGCCUGAUGCAGCCAUGCCGCGUGUAUGAAGAAGGCCUUCGGGUUGUAAAGUACUUUCAGUUGUGAGGAAGGGUGUGUAGUUAAUAACUGCGCAUUUUGACGUUAGCAACAGAAGAAGCACCGGCUAACUCCGUGCCAGCAGCCGCGGUAAUACGGAGGGUGCGAGCGUUAAUCGGAAUUACUGGGCGUAAAGCGCAUGCAGGUGGUUUGUUAAGUCAGAUGUGAAAGCCCGGGGCUCAACCUCGGAAGGUCAUUUGAAACUGGCAAACUAGAGUACUGUAGAGGGGGGUAGAAUUUCAGGUGUAGCGGUGAAAUGCGUAGAGAUCUGAAGGAAUACCAGUGGCGAAGGCGGCCCCCUGGACAGAUACUGACACUCAGAUGCGAAAGCGUGGGGAGCAAACAGGAUUAGAUACCCUGGUAGUCCACGCCGUAAACGAUGUCUACUUGGAGGUUGUGGCCUUGAGCCGUGGCUUUCGGAGCUAACGCGUUAAGUAGACCGCCUGGGGAGUACGGUCGCAAGAUUAAAACUCAAAUGAAUUGACGGGGGCCCGCACAAGCGGUGGAGCAUGUGGUUUAAUUCGAUGCAACGCGAAGAACCUUACCUACUCUUGACAUCCAGAGAACUUUCCAGAGAUGGAUUGGUGCCUUCGGGAACUCUGAGACAGGUGCUGCAUGGCUGUCGUCAGC
rnacentral:rRNA from 1 species